GUCUUUUUGUUAAAAAUUUAAAGUCAGGCCUGCCCACUGAGAUUUAAAUGGCCGCAGUAUUUUGACUGUGCAAAGGUAGCAUAAUCAUUAGUUUCUUAAUUAGAAGCUGGAAUGAAGGGUUUAAUGAAAAAAUAACUGUCUCUAUUUAAAUAUAUUAAAAUUUUAUUUUUAAGUUAAAAAGCUUAAAUAUUUUUAAAAGACGAGAAGACCCUAUAGAGUUUUAUAUAAAAUAAAAAUUUAAAUUUUUAAUAUUAUUUAAUUUUGAUUUUAUUUUAUAAUUUAUUGGGAGGAUAUAAAAAUUAAAUUAACUUUUAUUAAUUAAUACCAUAAAUUUAUGAAUUAUUGAUCCAUAUUUAAUGAUUAUAAGAUAAAAUUACCUUAGGGAUAACAGCGUAAUUUUUUUUGAGAGUUCAAAUCGAUAAAAAAGAUUGCGACCUCGAUGUUGGAUUAAAAUUAAUUUUUGGUGUAGAAGCUAAAAAUUUUAGGUCUGUUCGACCUUUAGAAUUU
rnacentral:rRNA from 1 species